UACGUAGGGUCCGAGCGUUGUCCGGAAUUACUGGGCGUAAAGAGCUCGUAGGUGGUUUGUCACGUUGUUCGUGAAAACUCACAGCUUAACUGUGGGCGUGCGGGCGAUACGGGCAGACUAGAGUACUGCAGGGGAGACUGGAAUUCCUGGUGUAGCGGUGGAAUGCGCAGAUAUCAGGAGGAACACCGGUGGCGAAGGCGGGUCUCUGGGCAGUAACUGACGCUGAGGAGCGAAAGCGUGGGGGAGCGAACAGG
rnacentral:rRNA from 1 species